rnacentral:misc_RNA from 1 species
UCCGAUUUGAAUAUCGGCAGUCUCAUUAGAGUGCUCAACUGAAUGUAGCAACUAAUGGCAAGGGUUGCGCUCGUUGCGGGACUUAACCCAACAUCUCACGACACGAGCUGACGACAGCCAUGCAGCACCUGUGUCUAGGUUCCCUUUCGGGCACCGCUACAUUUCUGCAGCGUUCCUAGCAUGUCAAGGGUAGGUAAGGUUUUUCGCGUUGCAUCGAAUUAAACCACAUCAUCCACCGCUUGUGCGGGCCCCCGUCAAUUCCUUUGAGUUUCAACCUUGCGGUCGUACUCCCCAGGCGGGGUACUUCCUGCGUUAGCGCCGGCACCCAGAGGGUCGCUCCCCCAGGCACCUAGUACCCAUCGUUUACGGCGUGGACUAC